rnacentral:lncRNA from 1 species
ACUGUAAUUUACAGUGGGAUAACAUAUGCCAUGUGUCUAAAACAAAAAAUUCUAAAAUACUUAUUUCUAAAAUUCUAAUUCUAAUUCUAAAACUUACAGUGUAAGUUAAAACUAGUCGUAAAAUUAAAAAAAUUUAUAUUGGAACUUCUUUUUCUUUUAACAUUCAUAUUUAUUUAUUUAUACUAUCUUAGAAUUUGCUGUUUUAGAAGCAUGGCAUUUAGUGUCACAUUGUAGGUUUAAAUUGGUUGUAGAAUUUAUAUUGUAACUUACAUAUUUAUUUAGUUGAGUUUAGUCUAAGUUUAUAUCUGAUGAGUUUGUAUUAUUUAAGAAUUUACUGUUUUAGACACGUAGCAUGUGGUAUCCCACUACACGUGGCAUGUGGUAUCCCACUAAUUAGCUAUUUUAAACAUGUGACAAGUCGUAUGACACUAUAAGUUUAAAAAAGUUGUAAAACUAAUUUUUUUAUAUAGUUACUUGCGUUUUUUUUGGUCUGCAUAUUUAAUCUUGUCUUGAUUUAUCAUAGUUUUUAAAAGGUUUGAGACUUUAUUUUUUGCUCCUGAUAGGUAUUGAUGUAUGUGAAAUGUAUAGAGUCUUUCAGCUAUCAGAUAAUAUCAAGGAGUUGACAGCAUGGUGUCCGAUUUAAAGUGCGAACCUGUGUACGAGUAACAACAGUAUUCAAAACCAAAACCUAUUUAAACCAAUCAAACCAAAACUAGCGACCAAAAACUAUCUUGGCAUUGGUUUAUUUUAAACAUCUAUUAUAUAUAUGUGUGAUUUUUAUAUAAAUGUACUAGCUUGAGUACUAGUAAUAUUGUAAUAUCAUUGCAACUUGUAUAUAUGAACCACCUUAAGUAUCUAAACAACAAGGCUGACUUAUUUCUUUUUCAAAAAAAAAAAAAAAAAUGGCAUAUUCAAAAUCUUUA